rnacentral:rRNA from 1 species
GACGAACGCUGGCGGCGUGCUUAACACAUGCAAGUCGAACGGAAAGGCCCUGCUUUUGUGGGGUGCUCGAGUGGCGAACGGGUGCGUAACACGUGAGUAACCUGCCCUUGACUUUGGGAUAACUUCAGGAAACUGGGGCUAAUACCGGAUAGGAGCUCCUGCUGCGUGGUGGGGGUUGGAAAGUUUCGGCGGUUGGGGAUGGACUCGCGGCUUAUCAGCUUGUUGGUGGGGUAGUGGCUUACCAAGGCUUUGACGGGUAGCCGGCCUGAGAGGGUGACCGGCCACAUUGGGACUGAGAUACGGCCCAGACUCCUACGGGAGGCAGCAGUGGGGAAUAUUGCACAAUGGGCGGAAGCCUGAUGCAGCAACGCCGCGUGCGGGAUGACGGCCUUCGGGUUGUAAACCGCUUUCGCCUGUGACGAAGCGUGAGUGACGGUAAUGGGUAAAGAAGCACCGGCUAACUACGUG